rnacentral:rRNA from 1 species
GAUGAACGCUGGCGGCAGGCCUAACACAUGCAAGUCGAGCGAGCGGCGGACGGGUGAGUAAUGUCUGGGGAUCUGCCCGAUAGAGGGGGAUAACUACUGGAACCGGUGGCUAAUACCGCAUACUAUCGGAUGUACCCAUAUGGGAUUAGCUAGUAGGUGGGGUAAUGGCUCACCUAGGCGACGAUCCCUAGCUGGUCUGAGAGGAUGAUCAGCCACACUGGGACUGAGACACGGCCCAGACUCCUACGGGAGGCAGCAGUGGGGAAUAUUGCACAAUGGGCGCAAGCCUGAUGCAGCCAUGCCGCGUGUAUGAAGAAGGCCUUAGGGUUGUAAAGUACUUUCAGCGAGGAGGCGUUACCCGCAGAAGAAGCACCGGCUAACUCCGUGCCAGCAGCCGCGGUAAUUC